GACGAACGCUGGCGGCGUGCCUAAUACAUGCAAGUAGAACGCUCAAGUUGUACCUUGCUUCUCUGCAUGAUUUACUAUCGGUUGCGUAACGCUUAGUUAACCUUCCUUGUCGUGGGGGAUAACUAUUGGAAACUAUAGCUAAUACCGCAUAAUAGUACAUGUUGUAUGUUAUUUCCUUAUAAUGUACAAUUGCAUCCCUACCAGUUGCUCCUGCGUUGUAUUAGCUAGUUGGUGGGGUAACGGCUCACCAAGGCGACGAUACAUAGCCGACCUGAGAGGGUGAUCGGCCACACUGGGACUGAGACACGGCCCAGACUCCUACGGGAGGCAGCAGUAGGGAAUCUUCGGCAAUGGACGGAAGUCUGACCGAGCAACGCCGCGUGAGUGAAGAAGGUUUUCGGAUCGUAAAGCUCUGUUGUAAGAGAAGAACGAGUGUGAGAGUGGAAAGUUCACACUGUGACGGUAUCUUACCAGAAAGGGACGGCUAACUACGUG
rnacentral:rRNA from 1 species